AAAGGUGAGAUGAUAGUUAAAUGGGACAGAAUAGAGUGAGGAUCUAUAAUAAAGGGAGAUAUUAGAAGCUAGAUCAGAGAGUCAGAAACAAGAUUAUUUUGGGAUUUCUCUUUGUACCGCUUAUCAAAUCAAAUAAACAAUUAGGCACUCCAGAACAUAAAUUGAUAGAAUAGGGAUAAUUGGGACUAGUUCUGAGAAAACCAAGGAGUUGCACAGAUUCCAUUUCAUCAGAAAUAUUUCCAAUGUCCCAAUAGUAUAAAGGGGAGAAAGGAAAGAUUUAAGAUCUUCACAGAAAUCAACAUUUUACAUUAGGAAAAGGAAGGACAAGAUUGGAGGCCAAUGCAAAAGGAAAGAUUUGCAGAAAUUAGGAACCAGAAAUUAAAAUAAACAGAUUGAUGAUUAUAGAAAACUGGAGGAAGCAGUGAUUAAAAACAAGCUGGAUUUUUGUAAUGAAUCUCUUGUGCAUUAAUUUAAUAGUAUUUCUUGAUUGGAAUGCUCAAGCUGCCUCGGCCAUAGUAUAUUCAGGAAUCAGUUGAUGAAGUUAAGGGAAAGAAGUGAAACAGAGAAGUUUGGGGAAUAGGUCGAGUCAGCAGUAAAAUAGAAUGUGGUUAUUCUGAAUCACGGGUGUGGUGACCACGGCUGGAAUCUGUUUCAUAACUUUCAGUUUUACAAGUCUCCACUUGGAGCUAUUUUGUUUUCAUUUUGCACUGUACCCUACAAUGCUCAUCUCAUGCAUUUUGUAAGAUUAAAUUACAUAAUAUGUAUGAGUGAUGACAGUUCACAUAUCUGGCAACUCACCACCCACCAAUCCUACCUCUAGACAUCUAUUGUUUGCAGAAUGCUGGGAUGUGAGUUGCAUAUACAAGCAACAGAGGGAAUGCUGCAGCCUUCUGUUUCCUCUGAGUCAAUCGGCUUAUCAGCUGGAGUUUCCUGUAUAUUUGGAAUGAGAAAGACCAAAGGAUAUGGUCAUGGAGAGGGAAGGAUGUACAUUACAGGCCUCGUUAAAUUAUUUGCACGUUACUGGCAAGAGGAAUUGUUGAAUGUGGGCCAUUUGAGCUGUGAAAUGAAAGAUUGCUGGCUAUGAUAUCUGUAAUGUCCAGAUCUAUGACCAUGACUAGUUUUCCAACCUGACUCACCAUUUCCUGUGAAUCACCAGACACUACUCAGCAACAGUGGUUGUUUCACUCUUCAAUCAACAAAGAACACAUUGGACAAUGCAUUUUUGGUUCUCAGACUUCUUGACAAUCAUGACUGUGGAAGUCAGAAAGAUUGGCUCCUUUCAGGAUCUGAGGUCAUGGAGAGACAUAAUAAUAGAAUCAGUUUACUCCUGUGGCCUGACUGCCGUUCUGAGAAUCUAAUUGGCCUAUUCUGCCUGGCUUUAUGAGUCAGGUGAAGUGUAAUAAAGGUAUUGAAUAACAUAUUGCUGUCUGAAAUAACUGAUAGAGCAUACCUUGAAUAAUGAGCUUUGGUUAUAAAAAUAGUGUUACCCGAGGCCCUGUUGCUAAUACUCUUGGCUCUUUCAGGGGCUCAUGGGGAACAAUAACUGGAGAACAAAAUCUAGGCUAAAUGCUUCACUGUUGGAAGAGAAACCUUUUGAAUGAGGUGUUUAACCAACGCCCUGUUUGCUCUCAGGCAGAUGCAAAGCACUCGUCUUGGUAGAUUUAAAGCAAUGAAACAUAUUAUCUCUCCAACGUCACUUCAUUGCUUACGGCUACACAUACUACAUAAAUUGGUAGCUUGUUUGUUAAUUGACAAUAUUUUAUAGAAUAUAGAAAAGCACUGUACAGGACAGGCCCUUCAGCCCACAAUAUCCAGGUCGAACAUGAGGCCAAAAUCCAAAUCUUAUUUGCCUGCACAUCAUCCACAUCUCUACAUUCAGAGGGAUGUUGAGAUCCAAGUCCCGCGCUCUGAAAGUAGAAAACCCAAGUGGAUAGAAUGAUAUCGAUGGCACACAUCAUGCUUGCUUUCAUUAGUUGGGGGAUGGACCUCAAGUUGGGAUGUCAUGUUGCAGUUGUAUGAAACUUGUCAAGCCACAUUUGGAGUAUUGCAUGCAGUUCUGUUGGCCACGCCAGAGGAAAGUAGAAGCUUGAAGAGGGUACAUAUCACCAAGAGUAUUGACAUUAUAUUUACCAAAACCUCACCAUCUACACUUUAUUGGGCACCUUGAACAAAAACUUAGCUGGAGCAGUCACUUAAUGACUAUGUUUACAAGGGCACAUCAAACACAAAGAGCUCCUGCUGUCCUUUAGCCUUUCUGCCACAGACAAUAGUUGAUGGAAUGCGUACCACUUGCCUUGAACAGUGGAGCUCCAAAAGCACACAAGAGGAUUGGCAUCAUCCAAUGCUUGAUUGGCGCACUAUCCACCAUUCAAACAUUCUCUUUCUCAAAUCAGUGUGAAUCCUGGUUAAAGUAUGAACAAUUUACAAACUGCACUACUGUAAAUAUCCUGGGCUGAUCCUGAAGAGGGGUUUACAGAACAGAAAUCAAGUGUGCAAGGGGUGCAGGAAGAUGAAAAUCUACUGGACAUGGUGUCCAACUUCAUACAGCCAGACCAGACUGGCCGAAACCUGGAACAAAAACUAGCUGCCAGUAUUGAUUAUAUGUCAUUUAAGCAGCUACAGGAACAGGCUGUGAUGGACACCACGGCAAGACACUUGGCACCAGGAAACUGUAUAUCACUGAAUGUUCCUAUCGUAAAUAAUUGCAUAUGGAAACACGUCGGGGCAGGAGUUAGAGGUCUGGAUGUCAAACUCCAAAAAGUACUAAAGCUUCUAACAGCGGGAAUAACAGCUUUCGCCCGCACAGUAGAUGAGAAGGAGAUGUCGCAGGAUCAACAGGAUGCACUGGCACUGCUUUGUAGUACACAAUACGAAAUAAACAGCAUCAGGAAGAGUGCCAUCCGACCUGCUUUAAACCCGAAAUUCGCAGGUCUGUGCAAACCUGGAAACACAAAACCAACAAUUUUACUAUUUGGAGGAAACCUAUCCAAGCAAGUCAAGGAGCUCGAUGAGGAGGCAAAAACCCUGGGGCUCAUAAAAGCAACAUCAUCAAGAACCUACUACGGCCAUAAACAGCACCCUUAUGCACCCACCAGUAGAACAAGACAAACUAGUGAAAGCUCAAAGGCCAGGUACACCGAACAUCGGUCUUUUUUAGGCCAUGCCCAGACCGGCCUUCGUGGAAGAUGUGCAAACCCCCAACACCAACCCAACCACAAACCCAGACACCGGCGCAUCAACCUCCAUGAAGGAUUUACAAAAAUAAGUAAACCUGCCACUGGUAACCAUGGAGGUAGGUGGGCCUGGUUCCUUACAAAUUGCAGGGAGUAUGGAGGUUGGUGGGAGAUUACACUUCUUUCUGGAUGCAUGGAGUAUGUUAAAUAUCCAAGGUUUCAUUAACGUCGCCUGCCAAACCUGUGACCUCUAUCAUUUCAAAAGCAAACAUUGGCAAGCAUGGGGGAAUCCAUUGACUGUCGUUCCAUUCCAAGUCACACACUAUUCUGACUUGAAAUCUUCCCAUGAACACUGGGUCAGAGCUGUAAAUUCUCUCCGACGGUGGAAAUAUAUUCACUCCAAGGGCCGCAGCAGUGCAAGAAGAUAGUUCCUCAUCAUAUUCUCAAGGGCACUUAGUGAUGACCUUUCAAUCCUGGCAUUGUCAACGACGCCUCAUUCCAUAUAAAUAACAAGAUCUCUACUGCCAACCCUGUGAUUGCUCCUUGGACACUAUGCUGGGUGGGGCAUAUAUCUCAGUUCAGAGCAGUUGUUUGUACAGCUAAGAGCAUAAAUUUAUUUUGAACUCAGUCUAUUUUAAGAGCAGAGAAUACUGGAACUUAUGAAAGAAACCACAGCAACUUCUCCCAAUUAAAUAGAAGAUCUUUGACAGACGACCAGGGAGCAGAGGAUUGUUGCACAUGAAUUGAAUGAUUUUCAAAUCAGUGUUAGUUCAAUAGCCAAUUCUGGGCCAGGUUGUUGUUCUAAUAACAUGACACAAGUUUUGCAAUCUCUUUCCCCCUGCUCCGUCUCACUAUUGUUGUUGUUGAUCUUGCCGACGCAGUGGUAUCAUUGGCGAACCUAAACAUUGUGUUGGCACUGUGCUUGACCACUCAAUCAUGGUUGUGCAGGGAGGAGAGCAAGAAUUGAGCCACAACCCUGACGGGCACCAGUGGUGAAGAUCAGAGUGGAAGAAAUGUUAUUACCAAUUCCAACUGACUGAGGUCUGCCGAUCAGGGAGUCCACAUUUCAGUUGCAGAUGGAGGCCCCAGGGCAAGGUUCAAAAUAGAACGUAGCACAUAAAACAUAGAACAGCACAGUACACAAACACAAUGUCUGAGCCAAACAUGAUGCCAAUACCAACAUUUAUCUGCCUGCACAUAAC